rnacentral:rRNA from 1 species
UACGUAGGGUGCGAGCGUUAAUCGGAAUUACUGGGCGUAAAGCGUGCGCAGGCGGUUCGUUGUGUCGGCGGUGAAAGCCCCGGGCUUAACCUGGGAAUGGCCGUUGAAACUGGCGAACUGGAGUGUGGCAGAGGGGGGUGGAAUUCCGCGUGUAGCAGUGAAAUGCGUAGAGAUGCGGAGGAACACCGAUGGCGAAGGCAGCCCCCUGGGCCAACACUGACGCUCAUGCACGAAAGCGUGGGGAGCAAACAGG